AAGAGUUAUUUAACUCUCAAAACCAUGUGAACUUACCUAUGUUGCCUCGGCGGGGAACCUACCCGGGAGCUACACUGUAGCUGUAGGCUUACCCGCCGGCGGACCAUUCAAACUCUUAUUUAUUUUGACACUUCUGAAUUAUUAUCAUAAUAAGUUUA
rnacentral:misc_RNA from 1 species